AGAGAGAGACAUGCGAGCAUAUCAAUAAGCGGAGGAAAAGAAACUAACAAGGAUUCCCUUAGUAACGGCGAGUGAAGCGGGAAGAGCUCAAAUUUGAAAUCUUCAAGGUUUUACCUUGACGAAUUGUAGUUUAAAGAAGUGUUUUCUGCUGAAGUUUUGGUAAAAGUUCUUUGGAAUAGGACAUCAUAGAGGGUGAGAAUCCCGUAUUUGACCAUUAUUUUCAGCUUUGUGAUACACUUUCAAAGAGUCGGAUUGUUUGGGAAUGCAGUCCAAAAUGGGUGGUAAAUUUCAUCUAAAGCUAAAUAUUGGCGAGAGACCGAUAGCGAACAAGUACCGUGAGGGAAAGAUGAAAAGAACUUUGAAAAGAGAGUUAAACAGUACGUGAAAUUGUCAAAAGGGAAGCGUUUGACACCAGUGUUGUUUUCUCGAAAAUCAAUUAAAAAUGGCUCGAUUUUGUAUUGCUGAGACCUUAAAAGCUCACUGUACAUUUUUCGUGUCUUUUUUAAUGCACUUUUCGUUUAACAAGUCAACAUCAGUUUCUUUUGUUGUAAAAGGGUCAUUGGAAGGUGGCUUUCUUUUCGGAGAAAGUGUUUAUAGCCUUUGGCCUCUGCAAUCGAAGAGACUGAGGUCUGCAGCGUAGACUCUUCGGGGUUAGAUACAUUUGUGCUAAGUUAUAGCUUUUUAUAGACAACUUGUUGACUAUAAUUAGUCUUGUAGCUUACUCGCUUAUGCUAUUUUACCUACGCUUAGGAUGUUGAAGAUGUAGCACAUCAU
rnacentral:rRNA from 1 species